UCCCUGGUGGUCCAGUGGUUAAGAUGCCGCACUUCCAAUGCGGGGGUUGCGGGUUCAAACCCUGGUCAGGGAA